GACGAACGCUGGCGACGUGCUUAACACAUGCAAGUCGAACGGAAAGGCCCUGCCUUUGUGGGGCGCUCGAGUGGCGAACGGGUGAGUAACUCGCGAGUAACCUGCCUUCGAUUUAGGGCUAACUCACGGAAACUAGGGCUAAUACCCGCUACGUGUUCCUCCUGCAUGGCGUGGGUUGGUAAGGUUGGACGGUUGGGGAUGGACACGCGUGUUAUCGGCUUGUUGGUGGGGUAGUGGCUUACUAAGGGUUUCAGGGGUGGGCGGCCUGAGAGUGUGACCGGUGACAUUGCGACUGAGAUACGGCCCACACUAGUGCGGGAGUCAGGAGUAGGGGAGAUUGCAGGAUGCGGCGAAGGCUCAUGCAGCAACGCCGCGUUAGGGAUGACGGCCUUCGGGUAGAAAAGCGGUUUAGACUGUUACGAAGAGUGCCUGACGGUACCGGAUAAAUAAGCACCGGCUAACUACGUG
rnacentral:rRNA from 1 species